AGUGAACGCUGGCGGUAGGCCUAACACAUGCAAGUCGAACGGCAGCACAGUAAGAGCUUGCUCUUACGGGUGUCGAGUGGCGGACGGGUGAGGAAUACAUCGGCAUCUACUUUUUCGUGGGGGAUAACGUAGGGAAACUUACGCUAAUACCGCAUACGACCUACGGGUGAAAGCACGGGAUCUUCGGACCUUGCGCGAUUGCAUGAGCCGAUGUCGGAUUAGCUAGUUGGCGGGGUAAAGGCCCACCCAGGCGACGAUCCGUAGCUGGUCUGAGAGGAUGAUCAGCCACACUGGAACUGAGACACGGUCCAGACUCCUACGGGAGGCAGCAGUGGGGAAUAUUGGACAAUGGGCGCAAGCCUGAUCCAGCCAUACCGCGUGGGUGAAGAAGGCCUUCGGGUUGUAAAGCCCUUUUGUUGUGAAAGAAAAGCAGCAGGUUAAUACCGCGCUGUUCUGACGGUACCCAAAGAAUAAGCACCGGCUAACUUCGUG
rnacentral:rRNA from 1 species